rnacentral:rRNA from 1 species
UGGGGAAUAUUGCACAAUGGGCGAAAGCCUGAUGCAGCAACGCCGCGUGCGGGAUGACGGCCUUCGGGUUGUAAACCGCUUUCAGCAGGGACGAAGGUUUUCUGACGGUACCUGCAGAAGAAGCACCGGCUAACUACGUGCCAGCAGCCGCGGUGAUACGUAGGGUGCGAGCGUUGUCCGGAAUUAUUGGGCGUAAAGAGCUUGUAGGCGGUCCGUUGCGUCGGAAGUGAAAACUCAGGGCUUAACCCUUGAGCCUGCUUUCGAUACGGGCGGACUUGAGGGAUGUAGGGGAGAACGAAAUUCCUGGUGGAGCGGUGGAAUGCGCAGAUAUCAGGAGGAACACCAGUGGCGAAGGCGGUUCUCUGGACAUUUCCUGACGCUGAGAAGCGAAAGCGUGGGGAGCAAACAGGCUUAGAUACCCUGGUAGUCCACGCCGUAAACGGUGGGCACUAGGUGUGGGACCCAUUCCACGGGUUCCGUGCCGUAGCUAACGCAUUAAGUGCCCCGCCUGGGGAGUACGGCCGCAAGGCUAAAACUCAAAGGAAUUGACGGGGUCAUAGCUG